UGCUCGCGUAAGGGAUUGCGGCGGCAUCCCACGCUUUUUAGCGUGGAUAGAGCCAAAAGCCCGACCCCAA
rnacentral:misc_RNA from 1 species